AAUUGAAGUAUUUAUUGUAUAACGUUGUCAGGUGGAAUAUAUUUAUGUAUAAAAACUGCCUGUUUGAGUAUUUUUUUAUGUGGUUAUACAAAGUUACAGAAGCAAAGGGCCGACCUUAAAAAUACAGAAUCGGAGUCCUUUAGGCCAGGCUCCUGAGGACAAGGGGCGUUCUCCAGGGGUUGGAGGGGGAGCGUGGGUUUGGCCAGGGAAGCCCCACGCCAAGCCUCUCCCCACUCCAGGAAGCGGCACUCUGGGAAUUAGGGACACGUGCUCACAGACUGGUGCCUUGUCGGCUGUAAGAAAACGUUUGGCUGAGUAACUUGCGCGGUUUCCCAUGUCUGAGACGCCGAGGC
rnacentral:lncRNA from 1 species